rnacentral:rRNA from 1 species
GAUGAACGCUGGCGGCGUGCUUAACACAUGCAAGUCGAACGAUGAAGCUGGAGCUUGCUCUUAUGAAGUUAGCGGCGGACGGGUGAGUAACACGUGGGUAACCUGCCCAUAAGACUGGGAUAACUCCGGGAAACCGGGGCUAAUACCGGAUAACAUUUUGAACCGCAUGGUUCGAAAUUGAAAGGCGGCUUCGGCUGUCACUUAUGGAUGGACCCGCGUCGCAUUAGCUAGUUGGUGAGGUAACGGCUCACCAAGGCAACGAUGCGUAGCCGAGCUGAGGGGGUAAUCGGCCACACUGGGACUGGGACACGGCCCAGACUCCUACGGGAGGAAGCAGUAGGGAAUCUUCCGCAAUGGACGAAAGGCUGACGGAGCAACGCCGCGUGAGUGAUGAAGGCUUUCGGGUCGUAAAACUCUGUUGUUAGGGAAGAACAAGUGCUAGUUGAAUAAGCUGACACCUUGACGGUACCUAACCAGAAAGCCACGGCUAACUACGUGCCAGCCGCCGCCGUAA